UGCCUAAUAGCUCAGUUGGUAGAGCGGUAAAUUGAUAAAUUAUUGGUCCGUGGUUCGAGCCCACGUUAGGCAGCCA
rnacentral:tRNA from 1 species